rnacentral:lncRNA from 1 species
AUCUUAGCUCACUGCAACCUUCACCUCCCAGGCUCAAGCCAUCCUCCUGCCUCAGCCUCCCAAGUAGCUGGGAUUACAGGCACGCAUCACCACGUCCAGCUAAUUUUUGUUGUUGUCAUUGUAGUUGUUGGAGAUGGAUUCUCGCUCUGUCUCCCAGGCUGGAGUGCAGUGGCACGAUCUUGGCUUACUACAACCUCCGCCUCCUGAGUUCCAGUGAUUCUCCUGCCUCAGCCUCCUGAGUAGCUGGGACUACAGGCAUGCGCCACCAAGCCCAGGACCUCCAUGGACUCCCAGUUGCCCACCCAGGGACCCCAGCUUGGAAGUCCUGAAUCAGCCUGCCUUCCUUGGGACCGAGGCCUAGACACUCCCAUCCCUGCCUGUGCCAUCACCUUCAUAUGGAGGCUAUCUUUGAAGUGCCCGUGGCCAGCUGUGACUGGCCCUACCCACAGGCCACCACGCCCAGCUGCCCAGAGGAAUGGAAUCACAGCCAGUGGCUGGGCAGCUGAGAGUAGCUGUGCCCAUGGCAACGGUCAUCUGAGAUGAGCUUCCUCUCCACCUGGCCUCAGGUUUCUGGCCCAGAGAGAAUUCCAGAAGAGCCUCAUUGAAGGUCCCUGGCAGGGUGGGGCCCUGCUGUCUGGGACAAAAGCUUGCUAUUCUCGGGACCAGGGUGGACAGAGCACUGAUUGUCUGCAGCCUCUUUGUGUGCAGUCUCUGUGGCUUCUUGGUAAAUGGAAGAUGUGAUUUCAUGGGGAACCUGGGAGACCAUCAGACCCUGUCUCCUCCCUGCUGUGUGACUGUGGGGAGGUUCCUUCACCUCUCUGGGCGUGCUUCCUCUUGUGCAGCUGGAUAGAGCUCAUGAAGGCAGAGCCCUACACAGUGCCUCUGGCACACAGCAAGCAGUGCAUAAAUGCAUACUUGUUAGCCCUGGUGCUUCCCCUACCCUUUCCUCCCUAGUUUCCUGUGUUUUUCCUUCUUUUCGUCAUGAUUUGAGCCCCUGUGUGGCAUUCACUGGGGAAAGAGCAAAGAAGGCAGACCAGAAUGUCUCUCCAUAUCUCCCACCCCACGCCUAUCCCUGAUCUCAUCCUAGGGGGUGUGAACAGGGACCCCCCUCGGUGGGUCCUGAGGCACACAGGACAGUGGGAAGCGGUUGCUUAGUGGCUGAAAGGUGCAGUUGGAAUUCAGAAUAUCCUGGAUUUGAAUCCUGAUGGCACCAUUGGCAGGUAUCUAUCUCCUCGGGUAAAAGGCUUUCACUGUGUGUGGAGCCUCAGUCUGUCGGUCUGCAAAAGGUAGGGGAGAAGACCUGCCCAUGGGAGGGGUGGUUGAGAUGAAGAUGAUGGGGAGGAGGGAAGAGGGGCUGAGAGGCUGGUGCAGGAGGGGCUGAGAGGCUGGGAUUUGCAGGGGUCCAACCCCACAUGGUGGCCUUGGCUACAUCCAUACCUCAGAGACCCAUUCCAGGCCCCCAGGGACCCCGACAUUAACUCUUGGCCUAAACCAACCCCCAGCUGGGCUAAGGGGAGGGGGCGGGGUUGGGGAGGGGUCAUGGAAUGAAGGAAGGGAGAGAGCAGGGGCAGGACAGCAGGGAGUGUGGGGAAGGAGAGGAAAGAAGUUUCUGCCUGGGGAGUGAGGAGGAGAGCUAUGCUUGCUGUCUUUUGGACUCAGUAGUUCCCAUUCGUAAAAUGGGCACAAUCAAAUGGGGAAACUGAUGCCCACUUCACAGGGUUGCUGGGAAGGGAGAUGUGAAGGAACACACGGGAGAGCACUGGGUGAAGCUGGAAGCGCUUGGGUGGGAGGGCACAUGAAGUUAGUCUUGGAGGAGGCGGGGCCCCAUUGUGGGACUAUUUAUUGAACAGUUACUGUGUUCCCGAACUGCCCAGCCCUCACAAGCCCUAUUGUGUUUAAUCCCUACAACCUGAAGAGGCAGGGGAAGUUACUGCUCUCAUUUUACAGAUGAGAGAAGCAGGGCUCAGAGAGGCAAAGUCACCUGCCCUAGGUCACAGCUUAGAAGUAUGAUAGAGCCACACCCAAUCGUUUUGAUCCUAGAGAUCAUGUCUUCUUCUUCUUCCUCCUCCUCCUCUUCUUCUUCUUGUUUUUUUUUUUUGUAGAAGUGGUUUCUCACUAUGUUGCCCAGGCUGCUCUUGAACUCCUGGCCUCAAGCGUUUCUCUUGCCUCAGCCUCCCAAAGUGCUGGGAUGACAGGCAUGAGCCACUGUACCUGGCUGUCUUCUUCUUUUUUUAAAAAGAAAAUUUCACAGCAGCUUUAUUAAGAUAGUCAUAUACCAUACAAUUCAUCCACUUAAAGUGUACUCUUCAAUGGUUUUUAUUUUAUUUAUUAAUUUAAUUUUUAAAUUUUUUUGAGUCUCAUUCUGUUGCCCAGGCUGGAGUGCAACAAUGCGAUCUUAGCUCGCUGCAACCUCUGCCUCCCAGGUUCAAGCGAUUCUCCUGCCUCAGCCUCCGGAGUAGCUGGGAUUACAGGCGCUCAUUACCACGCCCGACUAAUUUUUAUAUUUUUAGUAGAGAUGGGGUUUCACCAUGUUGGCCAGGCUGGUCUGGAACUCCUGACCUCGUGAUCCUCCCACCUUGGCCUCCCAAAGUGCUGGGAUUACAGGCAUGAGCCACUGUGCCUGGCCUUCAGUGGUUUUUAGUAUAGUCAUACAUAUGAGCAACCAUCACCAGUCAAUUUUAGAAUAUUUGCAUCAUCCUAUUUGGUUGGGUGUGGUGGUAUGCGCCUGCAGUCCCAGCUACUCAGGAGGUUGAGGUGAGAGCAUGGUUUGAACCCAGAAGUUAGAGGGUGCAGUGAGCUGUGGUUGCACUGCUGCCCUCCAGCCUGUGCGACAGAAAAAGAAAAAGAAAACCCAUACCCUUUAGCUAUUACCCUUGGCCCCCCAAAUCCUCCCUUCCCCCCAGCCCCUGACGACCACUCAGCUCUUUUCUGUUUCUAUAGAUUUGCCUCUUCUGGCCAUUUCAUAUAAAUGGAAUUAUGUAAUAUGCGGCCUUUUGUGUCUGGCCACUCAGCAUCCUGCUUCCAAGGUUCAUCCAUGUUGUUGCAUGACUCAGUAACCAUUCAUUUUAUUGCCAAAUAGUAUUCCUUUGUGUGGAUAUACUGUGUUUGUUUAUCCAUUGAGAAUUUGAGUUGUUUUCUUUUUUUGGCUAUUAUGAAUAAUGCUGCUAUGAACAUUCAAGUUUUUCUAUGGACGUAAGUUCUCAUUUCUCUUGGCUAUAUUUCUGGGGUGGAAUUGCUGGGUCAUAUGGGAACUCCAGAUUUUUUUUUUUUUUUUGAGACAGGAUCUCACUCUGUUGCCCAGGCUGGAGUGCAGUGGCACAAUCUCAGCUCACUGCAGCCUCUGCCUCCUGGGCUUAAGCAAUUCUUGUGCCUCAACCUCCUGAGUAGUUGGGAUUGCAGGUGCCCACCAUCAUGCCCGGCUAAUUUUUGUAUUUUUUUUUUUAAUUAGAGAUGAGGUUUCACCGUGUUGGCCAGGCUGGUCUCAAACUCCUGGCCUCAAGUGAUCCUUCCGCCUUGACCUCCCAAAGUGUUGGGAUUACAGGCGGGAGCCACCGUGCCUGGCAGUAACUCUAGAUUUAAUAUUUGGAGGAACUGCCAGACCGUUUUCCAUAGCAGCCACUCCAUUACACAUUCCCACCAGCAGUGUGCGAAGAUUCCAGCUUCUCCACUUCCUCAUCCACACUUAUGGUCUGUCUUUUUGAGAUCAUAUUCUUUUUUUCUUUUUUUCCUAGACAGGGUCUCACUUUGUUGCUCAGGCUGGAGUGUAGCUGCCUGAACACAGCUCACUGCAGCCUUGACCUCCAGGGCUCAAGUGAUUCUCCUGCCUUAGCCUCCCCAAAUGCUAUGAUUACAGGUGUGUGCCGCCGCACCUGGCCAGGAAAAUAUUCCUGCUGGUCAUGCUACACUGUAGAGUCUGCUGGGCUUGGGUUCAAAUCUUACCAGUUGUGGGAUGAUCUCAGACAAGUGGCCUCUUUGUGUCAUUAUCUAUAAAAUGGUGGAAGAAUUCCUCCUUUCCAGGCUGUCAAAAGAUGAACUGAGUUAGUGGCAGGAUCAGGACUGUGCCAACUGUAAAGUGAGGUGCACGUGUCUUGUUUUUAUAACUGGGUACCCUGGGUAUAAAGUCCCUGAGAUCCUGACCUGUCUGGCUCACCAAUCUCUCCCCAGCAUCUGGCACUGGACCUGGCAUACAGUAAGCACUUGGUAAAUGCAGACCCUUGGCUGCUGCCCAGGAACCUUUCUUAGGGGAGGUAGCUGAGUCCACCUGGGGCAGUCCAGGAGCUACGUGGAGAGCAAGGCUGCGCCCCACAUGUGGCUGCCACAUGACUCACAGCCAAUGCUGAGGGCCUUGAAAGUUUUUCCUUCCCUAAGAGGAAACAUUAUUUCUGGCUAGGCACAGUGGCUCAUGCCUGUAAUCCCAAUGUUUUGAGAGGCCAGGUUAUGAGGAUCACUUGAGCACGGGAGUUUGAGACCAGCUUGGGCAGCAUAGCGAGACCUCACCUGUACAAAAAAUAAAAUUUAAAAAGCCAGGCUUGGUGACACACACCUAUAGUCCCAGCUAUUCAGGAGGCUGAGGCAGGAGGAUCGCUUGAACCUAGGAAUUUGAGGCUGCA